UACGAAGGGGGCUAGCGUUGCGCGGAAUCACUGGGGGUAAAGGGGGCGUAGGCGGGUCUUUAAGUCAGGGGUGAAAUCCUGGAGCUCAACUCCAGAACUGCCCUUGAUACUGAGGGUCUUGAGUAUGGGAGAGGUGAGUGGAACUGCGAGUGUAGAGGUGAAAUUCGUAGAUAUUAGGAAGAACACCAGUGGCGAAGGCGGCUCACUGGUCCGGUACUGACGCUGAGGUGCGAAAGCGUGGGGAGCAAACAGG
rnacentral:rRNA from 1 species